rnacentral:rRNA from 1 species
UACGUAGGGGGGCAAGCGUUGUCCGGAAUUAUUGGGCGUAAAGCGCGUGUAGGCGGUCCGGUAAGUCGGGCUGUGAAAGUCCAGGGCUCAACCCUGGGGAUGCCGGUCGAUACUGCCGGACUAGAGUUCGGAAGAGGCGAGUGGAAUUCCCGGUGUCAGUGGUGAAAUGCGCAGAUAUCGGGAGGAACACCAAUGGCGAAGG